rnacentral:rRNA from 1 species
AUACGGAGGGGACUAGCGUUGUUCGGAAUUACUGGGCGUAAAGAGUUCGUAGGCGGACUGAUAAGUAAGAGGUGAAAUCCCAGGGCUCAACCCUGGAACUGCCUUUUAAACUGUCAGUCUAGAGACCGGAAGAGGUUAGGGGAAUACCUAGUGUAGAGGUGAAAUUCGUAGAUAUUAGGUGGAACACCAGUGGCGAAGGCGCCUAACUGGUCCGGUACUGACGCUGAGGAACGAAAGCGUGGGGAGCAAACAGAAUUAGAUACCCCAGUAGUCC